rnacentral:rRNA from 1 species
GAUGAACGCUGGCGGCGUGCCUAAUACAUGCAAGUCGAGCGAAGCGGGGACGGGUGAGUAACACGUGGAUAACCUCCUAUAAGACUGGGAUAACUUCGGGAAACCGGAGCUAAACCGGAUGCUUAUAGUUGGCUUCCCGCUGCAUUAGCUAGUUGGUAGGGUAACGGCUUACAAGGGCACCGAUGCAUGGCCGACCUGGGAGGGUGAUCGGCAAAACGGGACCUGAGACACGGUCCAGACUCCUACGGGAGGCAGCAGUAGGGAAUCUUCCGCAAUGGGCGAAAGCCUGACGGGGAAAGGCCGCGUGAGUGAUGAAGGUCUUCGGAUCGUAAGACUCUUUUAUUAGGGAAGCGGUACCUAAUCAGAAAGCCACGGCUAACUACGUGCCAGCAGCCGCGGUAAUUC